rnacentral:rRNA from 1 species
UACGGAGGGUGCGAGCGUUGUCCGGAAUCACUGGGCGUAAAGGGCGCGUAGGCGGCAGGCCAAGCGUGCGGUGAAAGUCCGGGGCUCAACCCCGGAUCUGCCGUGCGGACUGGUUUGCUAGAGCACUGUAGAGGCGAGUGGAAUUCCGGGUGUAGCGGUGAAAUGCGUAGAUAUCUGGAGGAACACCGGUGGCGAAGGCGGCAUCCUGGACCAAUACUGACACUGAGGAGCGAAAGCCAGGGGAGCAAACGGG